rnacentral:tRNA from 1 species
GCCCGGUUAGCUCAGCUGGUAGAGCGUUGGACUUUUAAUCCAAAGGCCAAGGUUUCAAGUCCCUUAUCGGGAU